UACGUAGGGUGCAAGCGUUAAUCGGAAUUACUGGGCGUAAAGGGCUCGUAGGUGGCCAACUAAGUCAGACGUGAAAUCCCUCAGCUUAACUGGGGAACUGCGUCUGAUACUGGAUGGCUUGAGUUUGGGAGAGGGAUGCGGAAUUCCAGGUGUAGCGGUGAAAUGCGUAGAUAUCUGGAGGAACACCGGUGGCGAAGGCGGCAUCCUGGACCAACACUGACACUGAGGAGCGAAAGCUAGGGGAGCAAACAGG
rnacentral:rRNA from 1 species